CAGCAGCCGCGGGAAUACGUAGGUGGCGAGCGUUGUCCGGAAUUAUUGGGCGUAAAGGGAGCGCAGGCGGACAUAUAAGUCCAUCUUAAAAGUGCGGGGCUCAACCCCGUGAGGGGAUGGAAACUGUAUGCCUUGAGUGCAGGAGAGGAAAGCGGAAUUCCCAGUGUAGCGGUGAAAUGCGUAGAUAUUGGGAGGAACACCAGUGGCGAAGGCGGCUUUCUGGACUGUAACUGACGCUGAGGCUCGAAAGCCAGGGGAGCGAACGGGAUUAGAUACCCCAGUAGUCCCUGUCUCUUAUACA
rnacentral:rRNA from 1 species